CUAACAUGUGUGCGAGUCAAUGGGUAAAACUAAACCUACAGGCGAAAUGAAAGUGACAGGGUCGCUACCUACUCAAUUUGGAGGUGGUGGUGGCUCGUGGGCUGAUCCUUCGGCUUGAUAUCCCCUAAUCCUUCGAUCGGUGAGACUUAAUAUGCGAGUGAGACCCUUUCCUCGUGUCUUCAAUAGGACGGGUCCACCGGCAUGGGGGGUUGGGUGAGUUUGAGAGCCCACUGCCCAUAGUUUGGGUUUGUGUAAUUAAUUUUGGGGGCGCAGGCCCGGGACUUGCUAAGACAGCGGCUGUGGCCCCGAGGGCGGAGUUGGAGGCGGAGGUCAGUAUUGGUCUCUUAGCUUGCUUCCGAGCCUGACAGGGUGUCGGCCGUGUCUACGUCGGUAAGUACCUUUAGCAGACAUGUUAGGACCCGAAAGAUGGUGAACUAUGCCUGGCCAGGAUGAAGCCAGAGGAAACUCUGGUGGAGGUCCGUAGCGAUUCUGACGUGCAAAUCGAUCGUCGGAGCUGGGUAUAGGGGCGAAAGACUAAUCGAACCAUCUAGUAGCUGGUUCCCCCCGAAGUUUCCCUUAGGAUAGCUGGGACUUAGAUGAUGAAUGUCAUCCGGUAAAGCGAAUGAUUAGAGGUCUUGGGGACGAAACGUCCUCAACCUAUUCUCAAACUUUAAAUGGGUGAGAUGCCGGGCUUGCUUGAACAGUGAAGCUCCGACGAUUCAUUAGAGUAUCUAGUGGGCCAUUUUUGGUAAGCAGAACUGGCGAUGUGGGAUGAACCAAACGUCGAGUUAAGGGGCCUAAAUGAAUGCUCAUAUAGAUCCCAUCGAAAGGUGUUGGUUGCUGAAGACAGUAGGACGGUGGCCAUGGAAGUUGGAAUCCGCUAAGGAGUGUGUAACAACUCACCUGCCGAAGCAACUAGCCCUUAAAAUGGCAUGGCGCUCAAGCAUUCUCCCGAUACUCGACCGCUGGGGCACUACAGGCCUCCUUAAUGGGCGAGGUCUUGAAGCCCCAGCGAGUAGGGGGCGCAGGGGUGAGCGUAGAAGGAUCUGGCGU
rnacentral:rRNA from 1 species